GACACUGGGCUCGCCUCUCAGUUUGCUAUGUGAUUGUGUACCUGGGGGCAACCCCUCUGGUCGUCUCCUGUUCUCUAUCUCCACACUCUGAAGUAGGACCUCCUAACAUUUUAGCCUUUGUACAGAAAGCAUGUGAAAUCUUUGUGCAUCUCCAAGCGCAGGGCUGUGAGUCAUGAAUGGCAGAGAGCUCACGUCUUUCUGAUCACAACAGACCAAGACGGUGACACCUCAUCCCCCGAGACCCCUUCUGUACCUACAACGAACCAGCCCAGCUUUUCCAGCUCCAGCAGGUGUGGGUGCUCAUCAGGUCUAACUUUAAAGUCUUGUGCUGUGGACAGUGGCUAAAACUUUUGAAACGCUAGCUCUCCUUCCGAGGGAAAGACACACCCCAAAAGAAGAAUCUAGACGUCUUGCUCCGGUGCAUCACUAAGUCAUUUUUGUAAUAGAUCAGAAGCAAGUGUUCUCAAUUAGAAGAGCUUCGUGGCUGUUGGUAGUGUGAAAAUAAUAAUCCU
rnacentral:lncRNA from 1 species